rnacentral:misc_RNA from 1 species
GUGCCAGAAUGGAGUGCUGGAUAGGUGCUUCCUUGAACUGCUGAUUCUCUCCUUGGACUUCUUAUAUAUUUGCCAUCUUUUCUCUGUCUCUACCCCCAUCUAGUUGUAGUUUCCAAGUCAAAUUUAUUUUUAAGUAAAGAUGCCAAUUGCAUAACUUUUAGAAUUGUUUUAGGAGAUUUCUGUGCACUAUUUAAUCCUGUUUCUACUGGUUUUGUUUAUUUCCAUAACUUAUUAAAAGGGAGGGAAAUAUGAAUAUUUAAGAAUUUUACUUCAAUUUUUACUUUGUCUAACAAGUUAUAAG